rnacentral:lncRNA from 1 species
UUUUGAGGGUAUCCUUCUGUUUGCAGAUUUUGAGACCCUCGUGUACUUCUUUUCUAAGUUGUAGUGUGUAACUACUAUGACAUCAUGCCUUUUUGUGGGAGCAUGUUCAAUCAUAGGUAUACCUCUACUGGUACUGUAAUUAUUUCCAGGCUUCAAUUGUUUAGAUAAGCAAUUACCAAUCUCGUCAUUUUGAUUUUACAAUACAAUUAGAAGAUCAAUAAUGUUUACCUGAAUGGACUCAUAUCCUCCUAGGUACUUGGAAAGCUGCUUUUGAAAUAUGGUUCUUGAAGUAGCUCGUGUGUCAGAAAAUUUAAAAUGCUAUAUUGUACUGAGCAUGGAAAAGUUGUAUCCACACGACCUGCUAAUUGUCAAAUCAAGGCUUCAGAUAAAAGAAAUACAUUGCUUACUGUCGUCACCACUAGAUGUUGGUAGAUGGUUUCAGUGCGUCGAAAGUGAUGUUGUUGUGUUACUUUCAGCAGGAGAGAGACAGAGUAUAUGAUUUCCAAGUUUGAUGUGAGAUGACAUCAGGCCAUUUGUGAAUGCAUCGCCAUUUGAGAUCCUGGUACAUUUAUUUAGUUGAUAUUAAUAGUGGAGAUGCUGCCACCUGUGCUGUUAGUUUGAUGUGAGAUGACAUCAGGCCGCUUGGCUCUGAAUUAUUGAUAUAGUUCUGUGAAAAAAAAUUGACUACUAAUCAAAAUGUAGUUUCUAUUUGCAUUACGAGAGGCUAAUGUUGAUGCAAAAAUGUUGAGGCUAAUUCUUUAUGGUUUGUGUGCAGAUGAAGAGAGUUUUGGAGAAGACUGGCUGUUGAUUUGUAGCACAACAAGUUGAACAAUUCUAUUCAUCUGCUCAGGAAAAGUGGUCUGAUAUCUGAAGUCACAAUUAGAUCGAAGAUGACAUCAUGGAUACAAUCAUGGAUACAAGUUGGUGGAUGAUGCGUUCAUUAGAAACAAAAUCUCACUAAUUGAUAAAGUAAUUGCCCUCUACGAGGUAAUUGAAUCUUCAUUGUUACACGUCAAGCAGCUAGAAAAGUCUUUACUGGGUACAUGCAGCUUCUAUCAAGUUUUCGUUCAUUGAAUUGGUUUUGUUACAUAAAGUGAAUCUAAUCACCGAUUCUUUUGAUUUGCCAAUAACCUUACGAUUUCACUACAGUAACCUUACGAUUCCACUCAGCAACCUGCCCACCACAGCUAGGAGUUUAUUGCAAUUUGCAAAAAGUAUGUUUUCAUGCCUUGUGACAUAAGUAUUCAAUAGUCACGGUAAGCAGAAUAGUGAAACUUCUAGACGAGUGGUUUGACAUUUCUUGUUAUCACAUUGGUAAUUGUAUUUAAUUAUAGUGUUUUCAUUCGGUGC